AUUGAACGCUGGCGGCAUGCUUUACACAUGCAAGUCGAACGGUAACAGGUUAAGCUGACGAGUGGCGAACGGGUGAGUAAUGCAUCGGAACGUGCCCGAUCGUGGGGGAUAACGCAGCGAAAGCUGCGCUAAUACCGCAUACGAUCUGAGGAUGAAAGCGGGGGACCGUAAGGCCUCGCGCGAUCGGAGCGGCCGAUGUCAGAUGAGGUAGUUGGUGGGGUAAGGGCUCACCAAGCCAACGACCUGUAGCUGGGCUGAGAGGCCGACCAGCCACACUGGGACUGAGACACGGCCCAGACUCCUACGGGAGGCAGCAGUGGGGAAUUUUGGACAAUGGGCGAAAGCCUGAUCCAGCAAUGCCGCGUGCAGGAAGAAGGCCUUCGGGUUGUAAACUGCUUUUGUACGGAGCGAAAAGGCCCUCUCUAAUACAGUGGGCUCAUGACGGUACCGUAAGAAAGCACCGGCUAACUACGUGCCAGCAGCCGCCGUAA
rnacentral:rRNA from 1 species